GGACUUUUUUUUUUGUCUUUUUGAGGCAGGGUCUCGCUAUGCAGCUCAGGCUGGCCUUGAGCUCACUUUGUAGCCCAGGCUGGUCUCAAACUCGCAAGGAUCCUCCUGCCUCAGCCUCCCGAGUGCUGAGAGUGUACCACCAUGCCCAGCCAGGACUUUCUAGAAGGUUCUGUGGGCAAAAAGAAAACAAGUUCUUCCUUAGAGAAGUUUAGCUUUGCCUUCAAGGGAGUCUCACAGCAAGGAAGUCUCAGCAGACUGGUGGAUCGGACGUUCUGCUUAUCACAGCAUUGGAAAAGGGUUCAGGGGAGGCCAUUUCCCUUCCUGACCAAUCCUGACCUGGUACAGAACUGACAGAAAGACGAAGAAAGGGAGUUUCUGAGUUACAACUGGGUAAGAAGUCAGUAGCUAAUCAGAAAGAGUCUGUAAGAAAGAGGGGUGGGAGUUUUG
rnacentral:lncRNA from 1 species